rnacentral:rRNA from 1 species
GACGAACGCUGGCGGCGUGCUUAACACAUGCAAGUCGAGCGGAAAGGCCUCUUCGGGGGUACUCGAGCGGCGAACGGGUGAGUAACACGUGAGUAAUCUGCCCUUGGCUUCGGGAUAGCCACCGGAAACGGUGAUUAAUACCGGAUAUGACCGCUCCAGGCAUUUGGUGGUGGUGGAAAGUUUUUCGGCCAGGGAUGUGCUCGCGGCCUAUCAGCUUGUUGGUGGGGUAAUGGCCUACCAAGGCUUCGACGGGUAGCCGGCCUGAGAGGGUGACCGGCCACACUGGGACUGAGACACGGCCCAG